CUCACGCACGCACACACACACUAAAGGUAACAAAAACUUUAAAUCAAGUAGCCUAUGGUAGCCUACCAGCAUGUUUUCCUCUCCGGUGUGCAAUAAGUAGAAUAGGCUACAGUGCAAGUUGACCGAUGAUUCAUCUCCCAUGUCGCGUCUCGUUGCAGAGCCUUGGUAGGCCACUAAGCAAAUCUGCAACCUAUGAGCCCAGCUGCCAGUAUUGGAGGAGGCCUAAACAUCUCGUAGAUGAGACGGUCAUUGUAGCCUACCAUUCAGGGAAUAUAGGCAUUUAAAAGAGACACAGAGUAUGGAGUGAUAUGACUCAGAAAUGACAUCGGGCAACGGCAGUGCGAGAUGUUCAGAACGUAAGAGCUAAAACUUCUACAAGCUCAAUAACAUCCACAGCGGAAAAAAGAAGUGAAGGUGAACACCGUUGAGUUGGGGAGGUUCAGGAAGGCAGAGAGGGUGGUCAGCCUGGAGCAGACUCUGGUCAACAGGGACCCCUUCGCGCUGAGCUGGAGUGAGAGCUGCCUGACUGACCCACAUCUCUGCAUGGAGGACCACAGGCCUGAGGUACGGUCAGGAGAGGAGAACCUGGACUUGGACAGCUGGUAUCUGACCCUGGCCUAUACGGGAACCCCUUUGCCCUGAUGAAGGUGAACACCGUUGCACCAGAGGGGCUCAGAGAGCCUGAGAACAUGGCUGCAUCACAUCCCCCAUACACGACACUUGCCUUACCCCACGCAGCAGACCUUGACCUGAUACCAUCUGUACUCAUCCAAGAUCUCCUGGCCACUGAGAUAGGAAGGUUGUGGAGGGGAUGGAAAGAUGGUAGAGGGACAGCAGACCUUGGGGCAUUUAGCACACUCAAUGUAGCCAAAACUUGUAAUUUACCUACUUAAUUAGAAUAGCCUAUACUAAAAUAGAGUUUAAAAAAUAUACAAAGAGUAUACCGCUAGAGCGGACCUCACUUCUCACUUCACUUCUCUUUUCACUUUAUUAGUGAAAUUCCAUUCUUUACAUUUUCACAUAUUAGACCUUAUUUUUCCUGGGCAUUGAUGACACCAGUCAUGCACAAUUCUAGAGUUUUCUCUCUUAUCAGUUGCCCUUCUGUUGUUCCAUAUUCUACUUCAGAUUGCUUUGGAAAUGUUCUCCUGGAUUGCAGCCUGGGGUUGUGCCUGGCCUGGUCAUUGUUUUCUCUUUUUCGUUUUGAUCCAGUAGUUUGGGAUCCUUGUUGUUUUAAAUAUUUCCUCUCACCAAUCACCCUGAAUGUCACCUUGAGAUUCUUCCUUUCAUUCAGCUUUUGGGUUACAAGCUUGCAUCUAUAUUGACAUCUAUAUCAUCAGUCCUACAUUUGUGCACCCUUGCAGCCCCACAAAAUCACCAUGGAAAUCAUGCUGGACAUCUGAUUCAAACAAGUUUAUUUUGUUUAUCAUCAUUCUGAAGUAUAUUCCAAUAUUCACCAUGCUUUUCUUUGUGUUCCUCUGCAAUUUAUGCCUGUUCUGCGAGCUGUGAUUAUUUUCUUGAGGACAGCCUGUAGAGGUUGACUUCAUCACAAUGUCCUUUGUGCUGUCAACAUUAUCAACAAAACACCAGUCUCCAAUGGACAAUCAUUGUGCUACGUGAAAAGAACUUGCCCAUCUGUUACAUGCAGUGUGUGCCAUAUCAUCUUCUGUGACUGUCGGUACUGUAUUGUCGGUAGACAAAUGAUAAAUAGAAAAAUAGGUGCUACAUAGAUCUAGUUGAUAUGCUAGUGACAAGCACAACCAGGGAGCUACAAAGCUAGGCUAUGGGGGGCAGAUUUCCGACAGUGUUUGUGCCUCUUAACAGACUCAAAAUGUCAUUACAAGUUCUGUGCAACACAAACAGGAUCCUUACGAGACACCAAUUUGUGUGUUUAACUCAAUAAUUGUGAAGAAACAGUGUACAUCCAGUGUUUGUACAGGUACUCACAUGUCUCUGUUUCCCUCGGUCGCUUCCUGUAGCCUGGAAAAUCCAGACCCUGUUAAUCUAGAAAGAUUAAGGGUCUGGCCACGAAUAAUGAAA